AAAUUAAAGUGUAUGAUCAUAGCUCACUAUUUACGCAAUUUAUUAACAUAACACAUGCUAGUAAUGUCUUGAUUGAGCUUAAAAAUCAAGUCAUAUGCAAAGAGGUGAGUAAAAGAUCUAUUUACCCUUAUAUAAUUAAAAACUGAUUAGUCAGUUUUAUAAGGAUAAUUCAUCUAUAGGUUUAGGUAGAUGGGGAUUGAAAGAUCCGCCAUGCCAAUAAUCCUUAGCAAUGGCCACAGAAUUUCAAAAUUAAGAUGAAUAGAUCUUUGAUCAGAAUAUUUCAAAAUUAAUUAAUAAGGAGAAAUUCCCUUUGGCAGCAGUGAGGAAUUUUGGGCAAUGAAUGAAAGUUUGACCCAGUUAAUAAAAGAAUUAAAUCAAAGAAUAAAUUCAAAUUUAUGGAUGUACCUUUGAUAUACACGAUUCUAAUUUUAAAAUAACAUAAUGAGUUUUUAAAAUAUUUAUAUCCUGGCUAAGAUCUGUGCCAGCAGCCGCGGUAAUACAGAUAGGGUAGCGUAAUAGAUAAUAAAUAGGCAUUAAGUGUGAUAAGAUGGUGAAAACUAGAGUAAUAAGAGAAAAAUAGAUGAAUAAUUAAUGUAAGGAUGGAAUCUAUUGAUAUUAAUUAGAAAUUCAAAGAAGUGACAACAUCUUUUUAUCAAAUAAUUACUGACAUUGAAUCACUAAAGUGUGGGGAGCAAAACAGAUUAGAUACCUGAUUAGUCCACACCCUGAAUACUGAAUGUAUGAUUAAGAUUAAAUUCAACUUAAUUGAAAGCAUUCCGCCUCCGUAGUAUUUUGGCAACAAAGAAAUGGAAUUGAUUAGACGGGUCCUAAUAACAGUGGUGGAACAUAUAGUUUAAUUAGAUGAUACUCUAAAAUCUUACCUUCUUUCAGUUUUAAGACUGUUGCUCUUAUUUUAUAAAUUUGAGCUCUUGGUGUUGCAUGGCUGUUGUAAGUUGGUUCAGUGAUGAAUUUAACCAACAAAUCAAACAUCCCAUUGGAACGAAUCAUUUUUUUGGUUCUAAUUUUGAUGUUUUACUACAAGUACUCAUGGCCCAAUAAGAAGGGCUAUAUAUGUGUUACAAAGAUAAUUAUCAAGUCAAUUUUUUGAUUUAACAUUUAUCUCAGUUCUAAUAAUUACCUGUAACUCGGUAAUUUAAAGUCGGAAUCACUAGUAAUCGCUUAAGAAUUAGUAUAAAGCGGUGAAUAAAAAUCUUGGGGUUGUUCUAACUGUCCAUCACAUCCUGUUAUUUUUUAUUAAUAUUUAAAUUCGCGGGAUGAAGUUGUAGCAUGGUAGCUGUUCUGGAAAGAGUAGCUCAAUUUCAUUUAUG
rnacentral:ncRNA from 1 species